AUGUGCGGAUCACUUCACCAUCACCGUCACCACGCCAUCGUGCUGACGGAACUCAUCUACUUCCUCGACACUUUGCUGGAUCAAGAGUUCGAGAGACGUCAUCGAGCUGAACGUGUGCAGAACUCGGAGGUGUCGUACGUUCGGUGCUUGAUCGGUCGGAACGAGAAGAAGUUCGACUACAUCAACCCCAUUGUCAAACGCUUCCGCUUUCGGUCUACGAGGGUUUGUGGAUUUUACCACCAGGAAAGAAUCUUGAGCAUUCAUAGUGGGCCCCAUGGAUCUAAUUUUAUUGACUGGAUACUCUUGUUACUUCAAAGGAUAAUGGAAGAAACUCUAAUGGAUACAUUUAACAAACCAAACUAUGGCAAAAGGAUUGCUGAUAAAACUUUAAGAAGCAAUCAACUUCAGAAAAUGUUGGCUGCCUUGAGGGCGUCAGUGCUAAUAGAAGUCAUUGUGUACCGUGGCCAGAUGGGAUUCACUGCCCGCUUCUAUUGCCCCGGCUUGUCCGAGGCCGGCGGCGUGAGGAGGCCCGGAGCAGAGCGCUCCACUGGAAUCAGGGCCACGACGGCGAUGGCCGCAUCUGGUGCAUCCGAGGACGCCAACGCGAGGAAGGCCCAGAGCAGAGUGGCGCCUCCAAGGCCGUCGGCUCUACGAGGGCCCGAGGCAGAUCAACGAUGUGCACACAGGCUGAUUCGACUCCGUCGGGAUGGCCACAUCGAUCAGCUCUUCCACGGAAAGGUUGGUGCGGAUCCAACCCGAGCGCACAGGAGGCAAUAG
rnacentral:rRNA from 1 species